rnacentral:sRNA from 1 species
AGUUUUGUAUCAUAUUCUUUGUCUCUGA